rnacentral:rRNA from 1 species
GAUGAACGCUGGCGGCGUGCCUAAUACAUGCAAGUCGAGCGAACGGACGAGAAGCUUGCUUCUCUGAUGUUAGCGGCGGACGGGUGAGUAACACGUGGAUAACCUACCUAUAAGACUGGGAUAACUUCGGGAAACCGGAGCUAAUACCGGAUGAUAUUUUGAACCGCAUUGUUCAAAAGUGAAAGACGGUCUUGCUGUCACUUAUAGAUGGAUCCGCGCUGCAUUAGCUAGUUGGUAAGGUAACGGCUUACCAAGGCGACUAUGCAUAGCCGACCUGAGAGGCGGGUCGGCGACACUGGAGCUGAGACACGGUCAAGGCGCCUAAGGGACGGAGCAGUAGGGAAUGUGCCGCAAUGGGCGAAAGCAUUACGGAGCAACGCGGCGUGAGAGAUGACGGUCUUCGGAUCGUAAAACUCUGUUAUUGGGGAAGAACAUAUGUGUAAGUAACUGUGCACAGCUUGACGGUAACUAAUCAGAAAGCAACGGCUAACUACGUG